GAUGAAGAACGUAGCGAAAUGCGAUACUUGGUGUGAAUUGCAGAAUCCCGUGAACCAUCGAGUCUUUGAACGCAAGUUGCGCCCGAAGCCAUUAGGCCGAGGGCACGCCUGCCUGGGCGUCACACGUCGUUGCCCCCCCAUCUACUCCUUCGGGAUUGCGGGGGGCGGAUGAUGGCCUCCCGUGUGCCUCGUCGCGCGGUUGGCAUAAAUGCCAAGUCCUCGGCGACGCACGCCACGACAAUCGGUGGUUGCGAAACCUCGGUUGCCCGUCGUGUGCGGUCGUCGCGCAUCGAGGGCUCGAAAAAAUUGCCGGGCUCCGGCUCGGCUUUCAACGCGACCCCAGGUCAGGCGGGGUUACCCGCUGAAUUUAAGCAUAUCAAUAAGCGGAGGA
rnacentral:misc_RNA from 1 species